AAAUGCGAUAAGUAGUGUGAAUUGCAGAAUUCAGUGAUUCAUCGAAUCUUUGAACGCACAUUGCGCCCCUCGGUAUUCCGUGGGGCAUGCCUGUUCGAGCGUCAUUACAACCCUCAGGCCCCCGGGCCUGGCGUUGGGGAUCGGCGGAAGCCCCCUGCGGGCACAACGCCGUCCCCCAAAUACAGUGGCGGUCCCGCCGCAGCUUCCAUUGCGUAGUAGCUAACACCUCGCAACUGGAGAGCGGCGCGGCCACGCCGUAAAACACCCAACUUCUGAAUGUUGACCUCGAAUCAGGUAGGAAUACCCGCUGAACUUAAGC
rnacentral:misc_RNA from 1 species